CAGCAGCCGCGGUAAUACCGGCGGCCCGAGUGGCGGUCACUAUUAUUGGGCUUAAAGCGUCCGUAGCCGGGUUGGGAAGUCCUCCGGGAAAUCUGGCCGCUUAACGGUCAGAAUGCCGGAGGAUACUCCCAGCCUAGGGAGCGGGAGAGGCCGAGGGUAUUCCCGGAGGUGGGGUGAAAUCCUAUAAUCCCGGGAGGACCACCUGUGGGGAAGGCGCUCGGCUGGAACGCGUCCGACGGUGAGGGACGAAGGCCAGGGGAGCAAACCGGAUUAGAUACCCGGGUAGUCCUGGCUGUAAACGAUGCGGACUUUGUGUCGGACAAGCUAUGAGCUUGUCCGGUGCCGGAGGGAAACCGUUAAGUCCGCCGCCUGGGGAGUACGGCCGCAAGGCUGAAACUUAAAGGAAUUGGCGGG
rnacentral:rRNA from 1 species